rnacentral:rRNA from 1 species
AACGAACGCUGGCGGCGUGCCUUACACAUGCAAGUCGAACGGCAGCGGGGGAGAAGCUUGCUUUUCCUGCCGGCGAGUGGCGGACGGGUGAGUAAUACAUCGGAACGUGCCCUGUAGUGGGGGAUAACUAGUCGAAAGAUUAGCUAAUACCGCAUACGACCUGAGGGUGAAAGUGGGGGACCGCAAGGCCUCAUGCUAUAGGAGCGGCCGAUGUCUGAUUAGCUAGUUGGUGGGGUAAAGGCCUACCAAGCCGACGAUCAGUAGCUGGUCUGAGAGGACGAUCGGCCCCACUGGGACUGAGCCACGGCCAAAACUCCUACGGGAGGCAGCAGUGGGGAAUUUUGGACAAUGGGCGAAAGCCUGAUCCAGCAAUGCCGCGUGUGUGAAGAAGGCCUUCGGGUUGUAAAGCACUUUUGUCCGGAAAGAAAUGGCUCUGGUUAAUACCUGGGGUCGAUGACGGUACCGGAAGAAUAAGGACCGGCUAACUACGUGCCAGCAGCCGCCGUAA